GAUCGUUUUAGCCAGUCGCCCUGGGCUUCAUGGGGGCGGCCGGUUCAGUGGAGCAUCAAGGCGGUUGGCUGGGGCAGGGUGCAAGGAAGCAGCGAUCUUCCUACAGCUCCUCUCUGCUCCCUGGUGCUGUUUAAUGAUGCCGGGAGCCGGAAUAUGGCGUCAUUCCAGCCCUGGCAUCACAGGGAGCAGAGAGUAGCUGCAUGGUAGAUUACUGCUCCCUCUUACACAGUAAGAGAGAGCAGCCCCACUGGACACCAGGGAAAGUCCCCUCAGCUAUCCCAAAGGUAGGGAGGCGAGGUGGAUUAAAAUGUAAAUUUGAGUGUUUGAGAAAGUAUGCAUGUCUGUUUAGGUACCUGCCCCCCUCUGAUCACC